GGAGUUAGCCGGUGCUUCUUCUGUGAGUGAUGUCCUUCCUGCCGGCUAUUAACCCGCAGGCCUUCUUCCUCACUGAAAGUGCUUUACAACCCGAAGGCCUUCUUCACACACGCGGCAUGGCUGGAUCAGGGUUGCCCCCAUUGUCCAAUAUUCCCCACUGCUGCCUCCCGUAGGAGUCUGGGCCGUGUCUCAGUCCCAGUGUGGCUGAUCAUCCUCUCAGACCAGCUACGGAUCGUCGCCUUGGUGAGCCGUUACCUCACCAACCAGCUAAUCCGACAUAGGCUCAUCCGAUAGCGCGAGGCCCGAAGGUCCCCCGCUUUCCCCCGUAGGGCGUAUGCGGUAUUAGCCUGGGUUUCCCCAGGUUAUCCCCCACUACCGGGCAGAUUCCUAUGCAUUACUCACCCGUCCGCCGCUCGCCACCAGGGAGCAAGCUCCCCGUGCUGCCGCUCGACUUGCAUGUGUUAGGCCUGCCGCCAGCGUUCAAUACUGAGCCAGGAAUCAAACUACUGA
rnacentral:rRNA from 1 species